CAGCAGCCGCGGUAAUACGUAGGGUGCAAGCGUUGUCCGGAAUUAUUGGGCGUAAAGAGCUCGUAGGCGGUUUGUCGCGUCUGCUGUGAAAACCCGAGGCUCAACCUCGGGCCUGCAGUGGGUACGGGCAGACUAGAGUGCGGUAGGGGAGAUUGGAAUUCCUGGUGUAGCGGUGGAAUGCGCAGAUAUCAGGAGGAACACCAAUGGCGAAGGCAGUUCUCUGGGCCGUAACUGACGCUGAGGAGCGAAAGCAUGGGGAGCGAACAGGAUUAGAUACCCUGGUAGUCCAUGCCGUAAACGUUGGGAACUAGAUGUGGGGACCAUUCCACGGUCUCCGUGUCGCAGCUAACGCAUUAAGUUCCCCGCCUGGGGAGUACGGCCGCAAGGCUAAAACUCAAAGGAAUUGACAGGGGCCCGCACAAGCGGCGGAGCAUGCGGAUUAAUUCGAUGCAACGCGAAGACCCUUACCAAGGCUUGACAUAUACCGGAAACGGCUGGAAACAGUCGCCCCGCAAGGUCGGUAUACAGGUGGUGCAUGGUUGUCGUCAGCUCGUGUCGUGAGAUGUUGGGUUAAGUCCCGCAACGAGCGCAACCCUCGUCCUAUGUUGCCAGCACGUAAUGGUGGGAACUCAUGGGAUACUGCCGGGGUCAACUCGGAGGAAGGUGGGGAUGACGUCAAAUCAUCAUGCCCCUUAUGUCUUGGGCUACACGCAUGCUACAAUGGCCGGUACAAAGGGCUGCGAUACCGCAAGGUGGAGCGAAUCCCAAAAAGCCGGUCUCAGUUCGGAUUGAGGUCUGCAACUCGACCUCAUGAAGUCGGAGUCGCUAGUAAUCGCAGAUCAGCAACGCUGCGGUGAAUACGUUCCCGGGCCUUGUACACACCGCC
rnacentral:rRNA from 1 species